GGAGAUUUAGCUCAGUGGCACAGUGCCUGCCUGGAAAGCACGAAGUCCUGAGUUCGGUUCCCAGUAAUCUGCC
rfam:Cavia porcellus supercont2_28 genomic scaffold, whole genome shotgun sequence.